rnacentral:rRNA from 1 species
UUAUACAUGCAAGUCGAACGAGAAAGUCACUUCGGUGGCGAGUAGAGUGGCGCACGGGUGAGUAACGCGUAGAUGAUCUACCCUUNCAGUCUGGGACAACUCUUGGAAACGGGAGCUAAUACCGGAUAAAACCUUCGGGUUGAAAGAUUUAUCGCUGGGGGAUGAGUCUGCGUACCAUUAGCUUGUUGGUGGGGUAACGGCCUACCAAGGCGACGAUGGUUAGCGGGUCUGAGAGGACGAUCCGCCACACUGGAACUGAGACACGGUCCAGACUCCUACGGGAGGCAGCAGUAGGGAAUAUUGCGCAAUGGGGGCAACCCUGACGCAGCAAUGCCGCGUGAGUGAAGAAGGCCUUCGGGUCGUAAAGCUCUUUUAUGGGAGAAGAUGAUGACGGUACCCCAUGAAUAAGCACCGGCUAACUACGUGCCAGCAGCCGCGGUAAUACGUAGGGUGCGAGCGUUGUUCGGAAUUACUGGGCGUAAAGGGCGUGCAGGCGGAUUGGCAAGCCGGAGGUGAAAGCCCGGGGCUCAACCCCGGAGGGUCUUUCGGAACUGCCAGUCUUGAGAGGGUCAGGGGCCAGCGGAAUUCCUGGUGUAGAGGUGAAAUUCGUAGAGAUCAGGAGGAACACCGGCGGCGAAAGCGGCUGGCUGGGGCCACUCUGACGCUGAGGCGCGAAAGCGUGGGGAGCAAACAGGAUUAGAUACCCUGGUAGUCCACGCCGUAAACGAUGGGCACUAAGCGUCCGACGGGUUCGACCCUGUUGGGUGCUGCAGUUAACGCGUUAAGUGCCCCGCCUGGGGAGUACGGUCGCAAGACUAAAACUCAAAUG